GAUGAACGCUGACAGAAUGCUUAACACAUGCAAGUCGAUUCGAUUUACCUUCGGGUAUUGAGGGUGGCGGACGGGUGAGUAACGCGUAAGGAACUUGCCUCUUGGUCUGGGACAACUGUUGGAAACGACAGCUAAUACCGGAUAUUAUGAGAUUCUCGCAUGGGAAACUUAUGAAAGCUAUAUGCGCCAAGAGAGAGCCUUGCGUUCCAUUAGCUAGUUGGUGGGGUAACGGCCCACCAAGGCGACGAUGGAUAGCCGGCCUGAGAGGGUGAACGGCCACAAGGGGACUGAGACACGGCCCUUACUCCUACGGGAGGCAGCAGUGGGGAAUAUUGGACAAUGGGCCACAAGCCUGAUCCAGCAAUUCUGUGUGCACGAUGAAGGUCUUCGGAUUGUAAAGUGCUUUCAGUUGGGAAGAAGCAAGUGACGGUACCAACAGAAGAAGCGACGGCUAAAUACGUGCCAGCAGCCGCGGUAAUACGUAUGUCGCAAGCGUUAUCCGGAUUUAUUGNGCGUAAAGCGCGUCUAGGCGGAAAAAUAAGUCUGAUGUUAAAAUGCGGGGCUCAACUCCGUAUUGCGUUGGAAACUGUUUUUCUAGAGUACUGGAGAGGUGGGCGGAACUACAAGUGUAGAGGUGAAAUUCGUANAUAUUUGUAGGAAUGCCGAUGGAGAA
rnacentral:rRNA from 1 species